UCACACAAGAGACCCAAGUUAAUCGUGUACGGCGUAAAGAGUGGGUCCAUGAUUUAUCUCAGUAAUUAAGGUCAAAGUGUAACUGAGCUGUCAUAAGCUUAAGAUGCACCUAAACUCACCCUAAAAACGACCUUAACUAACAUGACUAAUUAAGCCCCACGAAAGCCGGGACACAAACUGGGAUUAGAUACCCCACUAUGCCCGGCCCUAAAUCUCGAUGCCUAACAUACUAAAGCAUCCGCCCGAGAACUACGAGCACAAACGCUUAAAACUCUAAGGACUUGGCGGUGCCCCAAACCCACCUAGAGGAGCCUGUUCUAUAAUCGACAACCCACGAUGCACCCAACCAUUUCUUGCUAAAAACAGCCUACAUACCGCCGUCGCCAGCCCACCUCCUCUGAGAGUACAACAGUGAGCACAAUCGCCCUAACCCCGCUAACAAGACAGGUCAAGGUAUAGCCUAUGAAAUGGAAGAAAUGGGCUACAUUUUCUAAUUUAGAAAACCCUCACUUCUUAAACGAAAAGGAGUAUGAAACAACUCCUAGAAGGCGGAUUUAGCAGUAAAGUGGGAUAAUAAAGCCCCCUUAAAGCCGGCUCUGAGGCACGUACAUACCGCCCGUCACCCUCCUCACAAGCUCUCAUCCACCAAUAAAUAAUACACCCGUUUGCCAAAGAUGAGGUAAGUCGUAACAAGGUAAGUGUACCGG
rnacentral:rRNA from 1 species